rnacentral:rRNA from 1 species
CGCGGUAAUACGUAGGUGGCAAGCGUUAUCCGGAAUUAUUGGGCGUAAAGCGCGCGUAGGCGGUUUUUUAAGUCUGAUGUGAAAGCCCACGGCUCAACCGUGGAGGGUCAUUGGAAACUGGAAAACUUGAGUGCAGAAGAGGAAAGUGGAAUUCCAUGUGUAGCGGUGAAAUGCGCAGAGAUAUGGAGGAACACCAGUGGCGAAGGCGACUUUCUGGUCUGUAACUGACGCUGAUGUGCGAAAGCGUGGGGAUCAAACAGGAUUAGAUACCCUGGUAGUCCACGCCGUAAACGAUGAGUGCUAAGUGUUAGGGGGUUUCCGCCCCUUAGUGCUGCAGCUAACGCAUUAAGC